UCCAGUUUCAACCAACAUCUGAUAAGCAUGUAUAUAUUGAUUUUUAUCCCAAAUUACGAGCUUGGUGUUGUCAAAACAAAUCCUGUGUUGCUUCAACAGUAUCUGGACUCUCUACUGGAAAUCCUGUUCAUCAGGUUGCUAACAAAAUUUUAAACAUGAUUUACUCAAAAAUGACUAAAACGGUGUCUUCUUCGGGGAAUUCGUCAACAUUAUCGGGCAA
rnacentral:misc_RNA from 1 species